AUGGAGAGGUGCAUGUUCCUACUGCUUCUGAUCACAUUCAAGGUGAUUCGUCACGGCAUGGAGUGGAACCACAUCAAGGAGCGGCGCAAGUUCACGGCGAGCUCGACUUGGAGUCCGAGUGUAAGCAUAUUCUUGAAGAUGAAAAGCGUAGUCUUGAGAGGAAGCGCAAGUUCUUGUUGCAGCUCGCCAUUGUUUGGAUCCAUCGUUGUCAUCAUGCUGCUGCUACAGCGCACCCUGAAGCCACACGGCCCGCCACUAUGGGCGAUGCAGACGGCCGUGUUGCUGGACCUGCUGGGCCUACUGGGCGCCUACGCCGCCGGCAGCUGCAGGGACUGGGAGACGUCGAUCUACGUCAUCACACUCGUCGCCGUUGUGGUCCUCUUCAUCGCGCUGCACGUGCUGCUGUCAUUCGACGUCGUAUUUAAGAAGGCCAAGAAGCUCAUGCCCAACAAGUGCUUUGAAGUCGAUGAUAAGCAAUGA
rnacentral:rRNA from 1 species